UAAGUCUUAUUUUAUAAAGAAUACUUGACUGUUAAUCAAGAGGAGCAGAAUGUGUGUAGGCUUAG
rnacentral:tRNA from 1 species